rnacentral:rRNA from 1 species
UACGGGGGGGGCGAAGCGUUGUUCGGAAUUACUGGGCGUAAAGCGCGCGUAGGCGGCUCUUCAAGUCAGGCGUGAAAGCCCCGAGCUUAACUCGGGAACUGCGCUUGAUACUGUCGAGCUAGAGUGUGGAAGGGGCGAUUGGAAUUCCGUGUGUAGCGGUGAAAUGCGUAGAUAUACGGAGGAACACCAGAGGCGAAGGCGGAUCGCUGGGCCAACACUGACGCUGAUGUGCGAAAGCUAGGGGGAGCAAACGGG